ACAAUAUUUGACUGUUAAAGCUACCUUGUGUAAGAACUUCUCCCAUCUAGCGGUGAAAUUCUAUAUGACAACCAACAGAAUAUUACUUUCUAGCCCCUCCCAUUCCGAGCGCAUUUUAACUCCUACGGUGGCCGUUUCAUGCCAAGGUUAACAUGGCUUCCAGUACUAGGCCUACGACUUCGUCCAGUGUUCCU